rnacentral:tRNA from 1 species
GGGCUGGUAGCAUAAUUGGGAAUGCGCUUCAUUUGCAAUGAAGAAGAUUGGGUUCAAAUCCCACCAUGUCCA